rnacentral:rRNA from 1 species
AACGAACGCUGGCGGCAUGCCUAACACAUGCAAGUCGAACGAGACCUCCGGGUCUAGUGGCGCACGGGUGCGUAACGCGUGGGAACCUGCCCUUAGGUUCGGAAUAACUCCCCGAAAGGGGGGCUUAUGACGGGUAAUGUAUUCCGGCCCAAGAUUUUUCGCCCUUGGAUGGGGCCGCGUUGGAUUUGCUUGUUGGUAGGGUAACAGCCUAUCAACGCGACGAUCCAUAGCUGGUCUGAGAGGAUGAUCAGCCACACUGGGACUGAGACACAGCCCAGACUCCUACGGGAGGCAGCAGUGGGGAAUAUUGGACAAUGGGCGAAAGCCUGAUCCAGCAAUGCCGGGUGAGUGAUGAAGGCCUUAGGGUUGUAAAGCUCUUUUACCCGGGAUGAUAAUGACAGCACCGGGAGAAUAAGCACCGGCUAACUCCGUG